rnacentral:rRNA from 1 species
CAAUAGCGUAUAUUAAAGUUGUUGCAGUUAAAAAGCUCGUAGUUGGACUUGUGGUGGUCUUUGGGGUCCGAUUUCGGUACUCUCGGGGACUGCCAUCUUUGGGUGGAUCCUGUGUGGCAUUAGGUUGUCGUGCAGGGGAUGCCCAUCGUUUACUGUGAAAAAAUUAGAGUGUUCAAAGCAGGCUUAUGCCGUUGAAUAUAUUAGCAUGGAAUAAUGAGAUAGGACCUUGGUACUAUUUUGUUGGUUUGCGCACCGAGGUAAUGAUUAAUAGGGACAGUUGUGGGUAUUCGUAUUCCAUUGUCAGAGGUGAAAUUCUUGGAUUUCUGGAAGACGAACUAAUGCGAANGNAUUUACNAAGGAUGUUUNCAUUA